CUGGAGGUGGAUCUGGACCUUGCCGUGUCAUGAUGGCUGGUCUGAAAUGCAUGAGUGCACCCUGCUGUAGCAGCGUCUUCAGUGUGAUAAGUAUCUUCACUGAUUCAAGCUCCAUCGGGACACGCUUGUCUGGUGGGCUCUGCGCUUCCAACCGUCUCUUGUAGACAUCCUUGACAAUUUGACCUCAAAUCGGGUGGGAUUACCCGCUGAACUUAAGCAUAUCAAUAAGCGGAGGAAAAGAAACUAACAAGGAUUCCCCUAGUAACGGCGAGUGAAGAGGGAAAAGCUCAAAUUUUGAAUCUGGUACCUUCGGUGCCCGAGUUGUAAUCUAGAGAAGUGUUUUCUGCCUUGGACCACGCAUAAAUUCCCUGGAAUGGGGUGUCAUAGAGGGUGAGAAUCCCGUUUGUGGUGUGGACUACCUUGGCUCUGUGAUACACUCUCAACGAGUCGAGUUGUUUGGGAAUGCAGCUCAAAAUGGGUGGUAAAUUCCAUCUAAAGCUAAAUAUUGGCGAGAGACCGAUAGCGAACAAGUACCGUGAGGGAAAGAUGAAAAGCACUUUGGAAAGAGAGUGAAACAGUACGUGAAAUUGUUGGAAGGGAAGCGCUUGAGGUUAGUCGCAUCUGUCAGGACUCAGCCAGGCUUCUGCCUGGUGUACUUCCUGGCCGGUGGGUCAGCGUCAGUUUUGACCGAGGGAGAAAGGCUUGGGGAAUGUGGCUGUCUUCGGGCAGUGUUAUAGCCCCUUGUUGUAUGUCUCGGUCGGGACUGAGGAUCGCAGCACGCCUUAUGGCCGGGGUUCGCGCCCUCGGUACGUGCUUAGGAUGCUGGCAUAAUGGCCUUAAGCGGCC
rnacentral:rRNA from 1 species